UACGUAGGGACCGAGCGUUGUCCGGAAUCAUUGGGCGUAAAGCGCGCGUAGGCGGCCCGGUAAGUCCGUUGUAAAAGUCGAAGGCUCAACCUUCGAAAGCCGAUGGAUACUGCCGGGCUAGAGUCCGGAAGAGGCGAGUGGAAUUCCUGGUGUAGCGGUGGAAUGCGCAGAUAUCAGGAGGAACACCGGUGGCGAAGGCGGAUCUCUGGGCCAUUACUGACGCUGAGGAGCGAAAGCGUGGGGAGCGAACAGG
rnacentral:rRNA from 1 species